CUCCAAUCAACUUCCGGCGCGAAUCCAGCGACAUUAUUCUAUUUCUCAGGGAAUUUAUGGCUCCCUGAGAUUGGCCCGGCCCUAGGAGGAAGCUUGUCUCCGGUGUACUGUAUCUGGAUCUCCAGCCUCCUGGCAGCAAUUCCGAGAGGGGAGAAGUGUGGCUUGGCCCAGGCUGUGCAGAAAAUCCGAAAAUUCGAGCGGAUCUGGCUCCGGACUACAUUUCCCAGACACCCUGGCGGGUAUAGGGCUGACCCUUCACUCGCCUGCGGAACCCUAGGCCUCCGGGGAAGAGGAAGUGCAAGCUCUGCUUUUCUCAGAGAGGUCCCCAGAGGAGAAGGAGGAAUGGCUGUUGACCAAGCCAAAUGCAAGGUAUUCUCAACUCCAUAUGGUAAGAGUAUGUUUGAUUUUGUAAGAAGCUGCCAAACUGUCUUCCAAAGUGGCUGUACCAUUUUGCAUUCUCACCAGCAAUGAAUGAGAGUUCCUGUUGCUCCACAUCCUGGCCAGCAUUUGGUGUUAUAAGUGUUCUGGAUUUUGGCCAUUCUAAUUGGUAUGUAGUGGAGGGGGCUUUUAUUAAGACAUUAAAACAUAUUUUAAAAUUAUAUAGAGAAUGUGGUACUGGCAAAAUAAUAAAGAGGUCA
rnacentral:lncRNA from 1 species